GUAGGUGGCAAGCGUUGUCCGGAAUUAUUGGGCGUAAAGCGCGCGCAGGUGGUUCUUUAAGUCUGAUGUGAAAGCCCCCGGCUCAACCGGGGAGGGUCAUUGGAAACUGGGGAACUUGAGUGCAGGAGAGGAAAGUGGAAUUCCACGUGUAGCGGUGAAAUGCGUAGAUAUGUGGAGGAACACCAGUGGCGAAGGCGACUUUCUGGCCUGUAACUGACACUGAGGCGCGAAAGCGUGGGGAGCAAACAGGGAUUAGAUACCCUGGUAGUCCACGCCGUAAACGAUGAGUGCUAAGUGUUGGGGGGGUUUCCCGCCCCUCAGUGCUGCAGCUAACGCAUUAAGCACUCCGCCUGAGGAGUACGGUCGCAAGACUG
rnacentral:rRNA from 1 species